GCAAGCGAAUGAAAAAAAGACGGAAAACUGGAAACGGCUACAAAGGUUUUCAGAUGCGCUUAGCAAACUUCACUGUGAAAAUGAAGGCAAGUCCGCAACACGUCAACUCCCCAGAGAUUCGUUGGUUGCAAGGACCAAGACGAAGAAGACAUCCGUUGCAUUCGAUUACGAUGAAAGCGUUUCUGGUCUUUUCGACUUCUCCUCAUGACGACUUCGAGGCAGCAUGUAUGCACUGGAGAGGGAGUGCGCCAGUUCCUUUAUGGUUUUACACUUUUAAGGAAACUAUAAAUGCUUUUGCAUAGCUCUG
rnacentral:lncRNA from 1 species